CCCCAGUUCUGGAAAGACAUCCUAUCACUGAAGAAAUCGCUACUGUCUCAGGUCUUGACUUAGAUGCGAUUAUGGGAUCCAAGUAGAUGUCCGGGUCGCUAUCUGAAUACAUCUUCUGGAAGACAUUGCUUUGUAAUCAGGGUCUGGGCUAACCUUCUUCUAAGACACGGGCAGAAUAUCUGCCACUCUAAAGAGCCAUUCACAGUUCCAAGGGUCAUGAGUUUCACCUGUAUCUAAGAAGAACCACAAAGGAUGACUGGACUCUGUGAAGGAGCUUACAUAGCUACAGAAGGUAAGCUUUGGGAGUUUGUAGUUGCCUAGUGCUUUAGCACUUGACCUGUGGUAUGAUGUGAGUCCUUCCUCUCUCUGUUUCUUCCCCCUUACUAUCAAUGGUUCUUGCUAUCACAGCAUCUGCCCUCUCAGUUUCUGCUUCUUUAGAACCUUUACAUAUCAAUGAAAACAUGUAGUCAGUGAGGAAGACUAAAGGAGGAUAAUAUUGGCCUGAGAAUAUUUGACCUCAUCCAUAAAUGUAUAGAAUUCAAAUUAUGUUAACAUAAUUGAUAACAAAAUAGAAGGGAACAAUAUCAGAUAAAGCUUAUGUGAUCACACACUAAGGGAGGCUUCUUCUACAGAUAUUGUUUCUUAUCUGGUUUUAUUUACUUUAAAUAUAUGAUCUUGGCUCUAGUCACAAGGAAGCAUCCUACAAUUUCAACUAGACCCUUUCCCUUGGGAAAGUCCUUCCUGGGCUUUCUAAGAAUAGUCUGAAAUGACAGAUAUGUAUCAUGAAACAUGACCUCUUUUCAUAUUAGUUAUUUAAGUGAGACAGAGAUGUGAUUAUUUAAGUAAGUGCUGAGAUGUGUACUUGGAGCACUUUGGAUCCAUUACUAGGUACCACUGUACAAGGAGAUAGCAAGAAUCUUUAGCCUGUUCUUAUUGACACCAUUUCUUAAAUUUAUAUCCAAUUUAAAUAUUUUAAUGCUCAAAUUCUACUAAUUAUUAUGCCUGGUAGACUGGCACAUCUGUGAUCCCAGUACUUAAGAAGAUGGAGAAGGAAUAGCGUAAGUCUGAGGACUUACUAGUCUCCACAGUAAGAUUCUCUCUCAAAAAAUCCAGAACGACAGCAACAAAACAUUCUCCACUCUUUCCUUUAUUUUGGUCCUCUGUAAAAUUAUAUGUUAAGAUAAUUGUUUUAGAAUCAGGAAAUACCAAUUGCAGUACAGAUAAAAAUGGUCAAGAUUUUUUUCAGAUAAAAUGUGGCUUAAGGCAUGUUAGUUCUUUAUUUAUGUGCCCUUCAAAUGACUGAUACCAAUGUAUGAGCCUCUGUUUUUUAAACAACUCACUUUUGCUCCACUACCCAAGAUCUAUGGGCUCUCUACACAGAUUCACACCUGUUCAGUCUGUGUGUACAUAUGGAAGUAUUAGUAUUUUGUAGAAAACCAUGUCAAAGAUUAGGGUGUAGGCUGCUAACACACUUCAAGCAGAGAGAACAUCUCUGUCCUGUGAAACUCUAUUAGACACGACUUGGCUUGUAGCAGCUUGGAGACACUGUGUUUAUUUUUCAGCCCCUCUUUUUUAGAAAGAAGCUCCACACAGUGUUGUUGACAUCAGUGGUAUCAACCCUAAGAAGUUGUGGAUUUUUCUGAAAGACCAUGGAAGAGUAAUUUGCUUGAACAGUGUUUCAAGAGGAGUUACCAAGAUGUUCUCUACAGAAGUUAAUAAUACCCAUAGUAUUAUUCAAGGCACUGCUCUGAACUCUUUAUGCAUAUUUUCUAAUUUAAUGCAUUAUUUUAUGGACAAAGGGCACAUUAGAAGUCACUGAAAUAAUGAUGACACUAGGUGAUAUGGAUCAUGAAUUUUUUUUUCAGAUUAUGUUUUCAGGUAGCUGAGAGUUUUGCUGUUCUCUUAAGAUAUUGGGUAAAACCACCAACCCUCUAGAUAACCAAGCUAUCAUAGCUGGCCAUAUAUACACUAGAACCACUUAAUGCUUCUUUCUGCUUGGCUUUGAACACAUGAGCUAUAUCUCAAGUGGCUAUGAGGCAGAUUUAAAGGAAGACUUUUAUUCCACAUGUAACUGAGCUUUCUUCCUAUCUGACAAUCUAUUGUGAGGGGAAGCAUUUGAGCUUUCUCCCACUAGUCCCUCUAGACACGAUCACCCUGGAGGAUCAGUAUUCUUCACACCAUUAGCUCUGAGCUCUUGAUCACCUGAGCUUGACUUGAAUCCGGUCAUCAGGUAUCUUUAUAGGUUCUUUUCACAUUCAUUGUCCUUUGCUCUCAGUUUUCUGUUUGUCAGGGACAGGCAGGAGCUGAACUGACUUUUAGAUUCCCUUUAGCUGAGAAAUUACUAUUCCCAUUUUGAAACACACACACACUCUCUCUCUGUCUCUCUGUCUCUGUCUCUGUCUCUGUCUCUCUCUGUCUCUCUCUCUCUCUCUCAUACACACACACACACACACACACACACACACACACACACAUUUAUAUAUAUAAAACUCAAGGGAGGGUUGAGUAUACGAAGUCCAGAAGGAAACAAUUUCACUAAAUCAGAGAAAUGGAUCUAAGAAUGUUGACAACCCAAGGAGCUAGCAAUGGAUAUUGACAGCCAGCAUGUAGGGCCAGGAAGGCAAGCACUCUGGGAGCAAAUGAGUGCAAUCACCAGGAAAUGGAUUGCUGUCUAUUGCUGACCCUUGUCAGUUUCUUGUGCAGGAAAGGUGAUGAGGCGUACUAGCAACUGUAAAUGGCUAAAAAAAAGGGAGGGCUUCUCUCAAGCAGCCACACCCCUGAAACUCUUUAACAUAUAUAUGGUAUCCAUUAAUAUGCCAUGUUGUUUAUAUUCAUUUGGCCUUUGUUAUCUUCUACUCCACUUACAAGUUAUUAUAGCUCAUGUCUGAGUCUUGCCCUGCUACUGUACUAGAAGCACAUGGUGGGCAGAGCAAAGUCUAACUCUCCUUUGCUUCCCAUAUGACCCAGGAAGACUCUGUCCUAAAUGUCAACAAAAGACUUAUGAUGCAUUGAUUAAGAGAGGUUACCCAGCCUAGGACUCACUUCUGUGAGCUGUCUCCUGAUGCUUUGGCCUGAUAAUAGUAAUUCUUCUGACCUCACAAGGGUUUAGUAAGACGAGAAACUCCUACAGUUAUUACAGAAGUCAGUGGAACUCAGACCUUAUAUUGUUGUUACCUCAAAUCAAGUGGGAUACUUGUACCGAUUGUACUAAUUACUAAAUGGUAAAAGAGCCAUCAUUUAAAUUUACUUGGUUGCUAGUGUGUUGGUGACUAUUCAAGCUAUAUCAGCAAAUACGGUACUGGUCUGCCUAUUAUGUCAUUAACUGGAAAACCUCGUGUUAGAGAUUUUUGAGAGCUUUACAAAACACAUGAGGCCAUACUCGUAUCUCUCUGAUCUGAUCUCAUGAAAUCCAUACUACUAGGAGAUUUUAUUUUAGAGAACUGCAUAAUUUCAUCUCUGGUGUAUUUUAAAAAUUGUUACUUUAAAAUUUCAAGACUAUAUGCCAUUUCACCUUCCAUUUUCUCUCUCCAAACCCUCCAUAUACCUAUCCUUGCUCUCACUUUUUAUUUCAUUAAUUGUUGUUUUACACACACACACACACACACACACACACACACACACUUUAACAUUACACAAACUAGGCAGAUUAUAUUUAUGUAUCCAGUGUAAUUUUAUCCUAUGUAUCAUACUGUAGGGCAAAUCAUGUGCAUCUUAUCCUUUGGUGGGUAAUAUGACAUAAAGAUUUCAGUAUAUUAGAUAUUCAAAAUACAUUUUUAAAAAAUACUUAUUUUCUGUGAGGUGUAUGAGACUUUGGUCUGUGUGUAAGUGUACCUUGGGAAUGCAGAAUCUCUGGAGAACAGAAAAGGGUGGGGAAAGACCUGAAUGGGAACUAUAGAUGGUGGUGAGCUCCUUUGUAGAAAUCAACCCUUGUGUCUCUUCAAAUGAUCAAACUUUUCCCUUCUGGAGAAUGCCAAUCUGUCUUCUAAAUCUUUCAGCCAUUGUUAGAGAUGGGGAAGUUGGGAGGUGAAGAACAAGUUCUGUGAUGUCAUGUGUGGUAAGAUAGUGAUUGGUGGUAAUUGGUUUGUUUACAGUAAUCAUGGCAACGUUGCAUAUUAUUAUAUCUUGACUAUAUUUAAUAUUUGUCAAUUUUAUGUUUUUAAAGCUAAGUAUAAAUAACUUGGAGUUGAUAUCUUGAAAAUUUUUUGAUAAGCCACUUCCAUUUAUUUUCAGUUUGGUUGGCCUAUUUCAAAUAAGUAACUUUUAAAGAUGAAAUUAUUUCUCUAGUAAUAACCCAAUGGAAAGCCAUCUACAAAAACUAAAGAAGAAGAUGAAGCCUUGGCUUCCUGAUAGUUUUCAUCAAAGCCACAGCGAGGGUGCAUGAAUACAGGUUGUGGGUGGGUAUCCCCCAGUCAGCCUUUUGAAUUUACAUUGUUAAAUGCCACCUUCAUAUUGCUUUUCAGUUGGGUGAGCUCAAGACUUUCUGAGAAACUUGAAGCUCUAACGCUAGAUUGCUUUGUUACAUAUGCUAUCUGUGUCUUCUUUCUGAGAAGUUGGUUUUAAAUUACAAGUGUGAAGACGAGGAAAGGACCGUUGUCUAAGAUGAACUCCAUGCUCAAUGAAUGUUAAAACAUUACUGAUUGCCCUGGCAAGUGAUGAUUGAGGAACCAGCCCGUGAGAAGUCCACGGAGACCUGAAAGUAUCAAUGAAAGUGGAGUCGGAGAUUUUUAACACAGUCAACUUUUGUGGAAUCUUUCGACCAUGACUCAGUCGGGUACGUGUUGAACAUCAGUGCUCAGCUUCUUCAGAAGAUGGCCACCACCUCUUAGAUUCCCUGGCAUGAUGACAGCCAGUUUCUCGAAGCUGUCAACCCAGCAUUGGUGUCAGCCAUUAGACAGAAACGAAAAGCCCCCGAAAUAGAUUUAAAACAUUUUCGGUGGCCAAGGGUUGACUUUGCCGAGAAUAUAGUUGCUUUGGCUGUCUCUGCUGUUCAUUCUUUGCUGAACUAUAAUUAAAGUCCACAUCUGAAAUUCUUUCAGAGAAGCAAGGCCCCAAGAGUGAUUGGCACCUGGCCUCCAAAAAUAUCUUGCAAAGAGCCGAGCUCUCUGUGGCAUGCUUGACAGUCUUGGCUCCCUUUCUCUGCCACUGCUGCUCCAUAAGUGGCACACCAACGCAUGAAUAUGAAGAUUGUUCCAGCCGAAUAUCAAUCAAUCCGAUGGUUCUUCAAUCAAUGACUUGAAUCAGCUUCCCUGCACACUCUCACUUACCCCAAACUGGCACAUGAGACAAUAACAAGGGGAAAGUCGAUCCUCACUAAUUGGUACAUGUUUAGUCUCUGCAGUGUUAAAAAAGAAGGACCCAGUUUGGCUGAAAACCUGUAGGUCCCUGGUGAGAUGGAGAACUGUCUUUGCCUGCUGGCCCAAAUAGCACUAGUUUUUGCACAGAGAUUUCACCCAAUUAAAGGACUUUUAUUUGAACCCAAGAUUUGUGGCCUCCCUGGGAGGGAGAGAUUAGCUUUAGAGAGGAGAGAGGAAAGGCCUUUUCCCAUCAUCUUGUUUUCUAUGCUUGUGUCAUUUGCAUGAGAAUGAGACAAUGUGUGAUUGCACAUGGGUUCCCCCUCAGAGCAUCCUAAAUAAGAAUAUGUUGGACAGGAGGCAUUUCCCCCCUGAGCAGUCAAAUGAACCCAAUCAUAUGAAUAUACAAUGAGAUAAAACACCAAUCUUGCACAGAAAGGUUAUUUUUUUUUAUAUAAUUUUAAGUAGACUUGUGCUAAACUCUUAUCAUAAUUGUAAUUAGAAAGAGCAGGCCGGUUUCCUGCUGUUUCUACUCACAUUUGACACAUGAACAGCGUGAGGUUAGAAGCCAGGCCUGAAUUCCUGAUUCGCACUAGUUCAAAGUUGCCGUUUAUUCCAUUGCAAGUAGAGGUCAUGCAAAGCAGCGUCAACACUGCUCACAACAAGCCUUUCAACUUUCUAUAAUAUCUACAGGCAGGUAAUACAUCAACCCUGUGUUAUCCGAGGAUGUUAGAAUCUAGUAGGUUGAAUAAUCAGUGGCCUAGCAAGGAUGAGCAGGCAUAUGAGUGUUAUAAACUGAGGGCACAGAUAACAAUCUUAUUUUGACUUUUUUUUCCAAAUCAUAUUAUGAAAGUAUGAACUUUGAUUAACUUCAUAUUAUGGGAGCAUGAACAGAUGAUUAAACCCAUUUCUCAGGCCUUGAAUUGUCAGUCUCUGAGAAAUGGAGAAGUGAGACAAGGGUACAAUACCAUUUCGAGAUAGAUUCCACAAAGUUUAUUGAUUAGCUCACACCUGUAAGGUUUAUGCUUUAAUGGAGUGCUCUCUGGAGUUUCACAAAACUCCACAAAGACACAACUACACAAAGACCAAGGGCAGUGGUAUUAGUUUUUUGUUGUUGUUGUUGUUGCUGUUGGUAUUGUUGCUGUGAUAAAGUAUCACGACCAGGUCAUCUUACAGGAGAUAAGAAUUAAUUGUUCCUUAUGAUUCCAGAGGGUUAAGAGUUCAUCAUGGUGCAGAAACACGGCAGAAAGCAGCAGGCAGUGUGGCAGGAACAGGGAGCUGAGAGCUCAGACUUUCCAAUUGCAAGCAGGAAGCAGAGCUAGCAAUGUAGAAGGAAUUUUUUUAAAUCUCAAAAACCCACCUUUGGUGACAAUUUCUAACCAGUAAUGCUGUAGCCCCUAAAUGUCCCAAGAUAGGACCAUGAACUGGUUAGCUGGUGUUCAGGUAUUUCACCCUAGGAGGGACAUCCUCUUUCACAUAACUGUGUUAGUCAUAUGCCUACAUUGUAAUGCCCACUUUUACAUCUUUAGACAUAAGAAAGCAGCUAGUAUACACUUCAGCUCUGUUCCUCAGGUGGAGCAACUGUGUCCAAAGAAGGUCAAGGAAAAAAAAAUCAAAUCUUGUGCCUAAUUAUGGAAGAUAAAGGCAGGAAUGUUAAACUUCAGAACAUUAUUCAAAUGGACUCUUGGUUUUUCAUUCAUUAGAAAUAUGGCCUUGAAUAUAAUAUGAGUAACAAUGCAGCCUAUUCAGCAUUAGAGCUAUGAGUCACUGUGAACAUAUUUUAGAAAAAAGUGUUAAAACUGCUUGGGUUUUGUUUCUUUGUUUGUCUUGUUUUGUUGCCUUGAAGUUUCAGUCAUGAUAUGCAACUAAUAUGUUCUCAAAAAUUGUGUUAGCUGUUGGAUGUCACUCUGUAGGCUUAAGAUCUGCCUACGUGGAAGAACUGAGUGAUGAUGAGCAGUCUAUGUGGUGACAAUGUAAGUGUUAGCGUAGGGAAGUGAAGCGGACUCUCACAGUGUACCACAUGCUUGUUCAAAGUGACAGAAAUAGCGUGUCCACUUAAAAACAUAUAUUCAUAAAAGAUAGCUCCAUAGAUGGGCGACCCAGGAGAAUACUAGUGUAGCUUCUGUGAUGCCAAAUCAGCCAUAAUGAGACCCUUUCCACAGUACAAAUAAGGUCUGGAUCAAGCGUGCUAUCUACCCUAUGGAGAAAUGGUUAUCAAACAUUUAUCAGGGUAUGACAGAGUAACAAGAAUGGAUAUUUUAUUCGAGAGUCUUUAAAAUAUGUUUUAGAAAUGUAUCUGAGCUGGUGACAUAUGGAUUGGUAGAUCUGACACAGUAUUUUAAAAUAAAAAAUUAAAAUCAAA